GGGCGGGUAGCUCAGUGGUAGAGCACACACUUAGCAUACAUGAGGUCCUGGGUUCAAUCCUCAGUCCCUCCA
rnacentral:tRNA from 1 species